rnacentral:rRNA from 1 species
GAUGAACGCUGGCGGCGUGCCUAAUACAUGCAAGUAGAACGCUGAAGCUUGGUGCUUGCACCGAGCGGAUGAGUUGCGAACGGGUGAGUAACGCGUAGGUAACCUGCCUCUUAGCGGGGAUAACUAUUGGAAGCGAUAGCUAAUACCGCAUAAAAGUCGAUAUCGCAUGAUAUUGAUUUGAAAGAUGCAAUUGCAUCACUAAGAGAUGGACCUGCGUUGUAUUAGCUAGUUGGUGAGGUAACGGCUCACCAAGGCGACGAUACAUAGCCGACCUGAGAGGGUGAUCGGCCACACUGGGACUGAGACACGGCCCAGACUCCUACGGGAGGCAGCAGUAGGGAAUCUUCGGCAAUGGGGGCAACCCUGACCGAGCAACGCCGCGUGAGUGAAGAAGGUUUUCGGAUCGUAAAGCUCUGUUGUAAGAGAAGAACGAGUGUGAGAGUGGAAAGUUCACACUGUGACGGUAACUUACCAGAAAGGGACGGCUAACUACGUGCCAGCAGCCGCGGUAAUACGUAGGUCCCGAGCGUUAUCCGGAUUUAUUGGGCGUAAAGCGAGCGCAGGCGGUUAGAUAAGUCUGAAGUUAAAGGCUGUGGCUUAACCAUAGUACGCUUUGGAAACUGUUUAACUUGAGUGCAGAAGGGGAGAGUGGAAUUCCAUGUGUAGCGGUGAAAUGCGUAGAUAUAUGGAGGAACACCGGUGGCGAAAGCGGCUCUCUGGUCUGUAACUGACGCUGAGGCUCGAAAGCGUGGGGAGCAAACAGG